rnacentral:rRNA from 1 species
UUGGAAGUAAAAGUCGUAACAAGGUUUCCAUAGGGAUGCGAAAGGAUCAUUGUCGA